UACGUAGGGCGCGAGCGUUAACCGGAAUUACUGGGCGUAAAGCGUGCGCAGGCGGUCCGUAAAGUCUGUUGUGAAAGCCCCGGCUCAACCUGGGAACUGCAUUGGAAACUAACGGGCUCGAGUGUGGCAGUGGGGGGUGGAAUUCCACGUGUAGCAGUGAAAUGCGUAGAGAUGUGGAGGAACACCGAUGGCGAAGGCAGCCCCCUGGGCUAACACUGACGCUCAGGCACGAAAGCGUGGGGAGCAAACAGG
rnacentral:rRNA from 1 species